rnacentral:rRNA from 1 species
UACGUAGGGUGCAAGCGUUGUCCGGAAUUAUUGGGCGUAAAGAGCUCGUAGGCGGUCUGUUGCGUCGGCUGUGAAAACCCGGGGCUCAACUCCGGGCCUGCAGCCGAUACGGGCAGACUAGAGUUCGGCAGGGGAGACUGGAAUUCCGGGUGUAGCGGUGGAAUGCGCAGAUAUCAGGAGGAACACCGGUGGCGAAGGCGGGUCUCUGGGCAGUAACUGACGCUGAGGAGCGAAAGCGUGGGGAGCGAACAGG